UGCAGUCGAGCGGAACGAGUUGUCUGAACCUUCGGGGAACGAUAACGGCGUCGAGCGGCGGACGGGUGAGUAAUGCCUGGGAAAUUGCCCUGAUGUGGGGGAUAACCAUUGGAAACGAUGGCUAAUACCGCAUAAUAGCUUCGGCUCAAAGAGGGGGACCUUCGGGCCUCUCGCGUCAGGAUAUGCCCAGGUGGGAUUAGCUAGUUGGUGAGGUAAUGGCUCACCAAGGCGACGAUCCCUAGCUGGUCUGAGAGGAUGAUCAGCCACACUGGAACUGAGACACGGUCCAGACUCCUACGGGAGGCAGCAGUGGGGAAUAUUGCACAAUGGGCGCAAGCCUGAUGCAGCCAUGCCGCGUGUAUGAAGAAGGCCUUCGGGUUGUAAAGUACUUUCAGCAGUGAGGAAGGUGGUAGUGUUAAUAGCACUAUCAUUUGACGUUAGCUGCAGAAGAAGCACCGGCUAACUCCGUGCCAGCAGCCGCGGUAAUACGGAGGGUGCGAGCGUUAAUCGGAAUUACUGGGCGUAAAGCGCAUGCAGGUGGUUUGUUAAGUCAGAUGUGAAAGCCCGGGGCUCAACCUCGGAAUAGCAUUUGAAACUGGCAGACUAGAGUACUGUAGA
rnacentral:rRNA from 1 species